GGUCUGAUUUCAAUGCACUCCAUUAAUAACUUUAUUGUGAUUUUUUUAUUAAUAUCUUUAAAUAAAUAAUGUUUGUAAUUAUAUCAAUGGACGAAAGCUGAAUAUAAAUGUGAUGAACAUUUUACUGUUUGUUAUAAAAAAGCGAAAUUUUGAUUAUUUUGUUGAAAUACGGUAAUUUUGUCUGGCGCGAGUUGCUUCCCUCUAAUCUGGCGCCAUAAUCGGACAACAGAAAUUUCAGGGUCGCCAUUGCUGAGCAGCAUACUGCACUGAUAAAUACGACCAUGUGCAUGAAUAACAGACAUAGUGGCGAAUAGACAACGAUGAAGGCUUCAAGUACAUGUAAGAGGAAGGAGUGAUUUGUUGUGAAAGAUCCUGGAAUGUUCAACUUUACUUGGAAACUAUUGGCAAAGAACUGACAGAAUUUACACGAGAAGCCAGUAUCAUCUUGUCUUGCAAUUGGGAACUAUAUGUAAAGUGCAGAAACUUAAGAACAACAUUAGAAGCCAAGAUCAACAAUACUUAGAACUACAUGUAUAAUCAAAGUACUGUCAGAAUCCAUAUGAGAGAACCCAAGAUCAUCUACACUUGGUGUCUAUAUGCAAAGUGUUGUCAGAAUCCACUUAAAAAGCCAAGAUCAACUAUAAUUUGGAACUAUAUGCUUUAGUGCUGUCAAAAUCCAUAAAAAAAAAAUCCAAGAUCAAAAGGACCUACUUUACCUACCUGUCCCAAUGAUGAAUACAGAUUAUUGAGUCUUAUAAAAAACACUGAUGAAGAAUAUUGAUAUAAAAAUAAUGAAAAUAUAGAGCUGAUCAGCUAAUGAUUGUACAUGUACAUGAUGUAUACAUGUCAACAAUUACUAGUAUAUUGAAAUUUACAAUGCUAAUAAAUGUUUUAUAAAUUUGAUCUCAUAGACAUUUUAGGAAUAAAAAUCAAAAAUGUUUCAAAAAAUGAA